CUUCCUCCAGGCUAGCUCAGAUCCAGGUGGGUGGCCUGAAACUUCGAGAAAGCCAGAGGCCAAGAAAAAAAAUCCGUUCUCCUGAGAGUCUGGAACUCGCUGAUGCAGCUGAUGCUGCUCACCCUGAAGCAGGUGCCAGGCUGUACCCUCUGCAUCACGCACGUCCACUUUGUCCUUCAGAACAUCCCCUCCUACUGUCUGUCCAGCGAUGCGCUUGCCUUUGGCACAUGAAGGGAUGGAGGCUUGAGUUGGUUCUGAGACUCACACAGACUCCUGGAGUUGGGCCAAUGAUCAUUGUAUGGAAGAUAAAUGAGGCCUGUUUCAGCUGAAGAGAAACACCUGCUAGAAAGUCCCUGCCAGCUGAAGGGCUUGUUCCACCCCUUCUCUGCUUCCUCUCUGAUUACAUGAUAGCAUCUCAAAGCUCUCUCCAUCCUUCUGUCUUGUUUUCCAUUAAAAAAAAAUCAUGCAUUGUCAUAACUGUUAUUUGUAAGCUUCCAUGCUAUUUAAACCGUGAUUAAUUAUAAUACCUCACCAAAGCAAUAACAACCUCCUAAAACGCACACCAGGCCACAUUGCUCCAUUGUCUGGAGAGCUUCCUCCCCCAGUGUGCCAGGCCCUGUGUGGUACAGGUGCAGUCUGCCUUCUCACCUCUCACCCUGUCCUUACCUUCUGCUCCUGUCCUCGUGGUGCCUCCUGCUUGC
rnacentral:lncRNA from 1 species